UGGGGAAUUUUGGACAAUGGGGGCAACCCUGAUCCAGCCAUGCCGCGUGCGGGAAGAAGGCCUUCGGGUUGUAAACCGCUUUCGGCCGGAACGAAAUCGGCGGGAUGAAUAGUCUCGCUGGAUGACGGUACCGGAAGAAGAAGCACCGGCUAACUACGUGCCAGCAGCCGCGGUAAUACGUAGGGUGCGAGCGUUAAUCGGAAUUACUGGGCGUAAAGCGUGCGCAGGCGGCCGCGUAAGCCAGAGGUGAAAUCCCCGGGCUCAACCUGGGAAUGGCCUUUGGGACUGCGUGGCUCGAGUGCGGCAGAGGGGGGUGGAAUUCCUGGUGUAGCAGUGAAAUGCGUAGAUAUCAGGAGGAACACCGAUGGCGAAGGCAGCCCCCUGGGCCAGCACUGACGCUCAUGCACGAAAGCGUGGGGAGCAAACAGGAUUAGAUACCCUGGUAGUCCACGCCCUAAACGAUGACGACUAGUUGUUGGGGGAGCAAUCCCUUAGUAACGUAGCUAACGCGUGAAGUCGUCCGCCUGGGGAGUACGGUCGCAAGAUUA
rnacentral:rRNA from 1 species